UAGCUCAGUCGGUAAAGCAUGAGAUUCUUAAUCUCAGGGUUGUGGGUUCCUGACCCAU
rnacentral:tRNA from 1 species